rnacentral:rRNA from 1 species
UAGUCUACGCCGUAAACGAUGGAUACUAGUUGUUUGAUCUUCGGAUUGAGUGACUAAGCGAAAGUGAUAAGUAUCCCACCUGGGGAGUACGUUCGCAAGAAUGAAACUCAAAGGAAUUGACGGGGGCCCGCACAAGCGGUGGAGCAUGUGGUUUAAUUCGAUGAUACGCGAGGAACCUUACCAGGGCUUAAAUGUAGUCUGACAGCUUUAGAGAUAGAGUUUUCUUCGGACAGAUUACAAGGUGCUGCAUGGUUGUCGUCAGCUCGUGCCGUGAGGUGCCAGGUUAAGUCCUAUAACGAGCGCAACCCCUGUUGUUAGUUGCCAGCGAGUCAAGUCGGGAACUCUAACAAGACUGCCAGUGCAAACCGCGAGGAAGGUGGGGAUGACGUCAAAUCAUCACGGCCCUUACGUCCUGGGCCACACACGUGCUACAAUGGUAGGGACAGAGAGCAGCCACAAUGCGAAUUGGAGCGAAUCUAUAAACCCUAUCUCAGUUCGGAUC